rnacentral:lncRNA from 1 species
GAAUGUUAUACUGGAUUCAAAUUGGGACAACUAAGUCUGAGAUCCACCUCCAUCACUUUGGGCAUAUCACUUCUCUAGACCUCGUUUCCCUUAUUGGUAAAUUGAGAAUUUGAGUGCCUCUUCUAUAUAGGAUUUUCCAACUCUGACACGUCACAAUUCUUCCAGUGCCUCAAGAGAUGAUAGUACUAUACAGGACCUACUGCAUCUUUUUUGCAACUAACUUUGCAAUAACGCUGUUUGGAAAGAAGAUGACCCAAACUGUAUUAAUUAGUAAAUGCCAAAGGCAGCAACUGGAGUCUGUGAGCUACUCCUCUCGCUAUGCUCUGGGCCUCUUUUAUGAAGCUGGCACGAAGAUUGACGUCCCUUGGGCUGGGCAGUACAUCACCAGUAAUCCCUGCAUACGCUUCGUCUCCAUUGAUAAUAAGAAGCGCAAUAUAGAGUCAUCAGAAAUCGGGCCUUCCUUGGUGAUUCACACCACUGUCCCUUUUGGAGUUACAUACUUGGAGCAUAGCAUCGAGGAUGUGCAGGAGUUAAUCUUCCAGCAGUUGGAAAAUAUUUUGCCAGGUUUGCCUCAGCCAGUUGCUACCAAAUGCCUGAAAUGGAGACAUUCACAGGUGCUGAGCAUUGAUACCUUGGUGGCCAAAAAACUACCUGAACACUUAAGACCCAGCGUGCCUUGGGACUGCAGAGAGAUACCUCCCAAGGCAGAUUUAUAGCUGCAAUCAGGAGUUCCAGAGGAUAGAGCUUUAAAGAUAAACUUGGAUACCACUAGAUUAGCUUGGCAUGACAUUCAUAAAUAAUAACUUUACAGUUUACUCUCAGCUGCAUGCAGCGUCUGAGCAAUCUUCCUGGACUGCUGCAUAGUUGACCUAUUUAUUUACUCCCCCGCACGUACCAUGGGCCAUCCUACCAGUGGAAUGAGGCCAUAGACAUAAUAGUAGUUCUUAUAAAUGUAUAGGAAAUCUUGGUGACUGAAUUUUGAGUAUUUGGUCAUUUGGCAAGGGGGAAAGGAAAGGUGGGGGGAGAAGAGGAGGAGGGAAGAGGAGGAGCUGUUUCUGUCCUCCAGCAUGAUUAUACAAAUCAAACAAACUAAAAAAGAGACACACACUGACUAUUCCAUUCUAUUAUCUCUCCAGCAAAGAUCCCCCACGAGAUACUGGAGAGAUUAGAAAAUAUAACCUAAGCCCAAAGAGUUAAAGGACUGUUCAAAGGCUGGGGAUGUGGCUCAAGCGGUAGCGCGCUCGCCUGGCAUGCGUGUGGCCUGGGUUCGAUCCUCAGCACCACAUACCAACAAAGAUGUUGUGUCUGCCGAGAACUAAAAAAUAAAUAUUAAAAAUUCUCUCUCUCUCUCCUCUCUCACUCUUUCUUAAAAAAAAAAAAAAAAAAAAAAAAGGACUGUUCAAGACCAUAAU